rnacentral:rRNA from 1 species
AGUGGGGAAUUUUGGGCAAUGGGCGAAAGCCUGACGGAGCGACGCCGCGUGGGUGAAGAAUGCCGAGAGGUUGUAAAGCCCUUUUCUGCAUGAGGAAUAAGGCGAGGAGGUAAUGCCUCGCUGAUGACGGUAGUGCAGGAAUAAGCCCCGGCCAAUUACGUGCCAGCAGCCGCGGUAACACGUAUGGGGCGAGCGUUGUUCGGAAUCAUUGGGCGUACAGGGUUCGUAGGCGGUCAGAAUAGUCAGUGGUGAAAUCUAACGGCUUAACCGUUAAAUUGCCUUUGAAACUGUCUGACUUGAGUACGUGAGAGGAAAGCGGAAUUCUUGGUGUAGCGGUGAAAUGCGUGGAUAUCAAGAGGAACACCCGUGGCGAAAGCGGCUUUCUGGCACGAUACUGACGCUGAGGAACGAAAGCUAGGGUAGCAAACGGGAUUA